rnacentral:rRNA from 1 species
GAUGAACGCUGGCGGCGUGCCUAAUACAUGCAAGUCGAGCGAACAGACGAGGAGCUUGCUCCUCUGACGUUAGCGGCGGACGGGUGAGUAACACGUGGAUAACCUACCUAUAAGACUGGGAUAACUUCGGGAAACCGGAGCUAAUACCGGAUAAUAUAUUGAACCGCAUGGUUCAAUAGUGAAAGACGGUUUUGCUGUCACUUAUAGAUGGAUCCGCGCCGCAUUAGCUAGUUGGUAAGGUAACGGCUUACCAAGGCAACGAUGCGUAGCCGACCUGAGAGGGUGAUUCGCCCCCCCUGAACCUGAACCACGGCCCGGCCUCCACGGGAGGCCGGCGUAGGGAAAUUUUCCCAAAUGGCGAAAGCCUGACGGAGCAACGCCGCGUGAGUGAUGAAGGUCUUCGGAUCGUAAAACUCUGUUAUUAGGGAAGAACAAAUGUGUAAGUAACUAUGCACGUCUUGACGGUACCUAAUCAGAAAGCCACGGCUAACUACAUG